UUUGUGUUCGGUGAUCUGACCAG
rnacentral:miRNA from 1 species